UGGGGAAUCUUGGACAAUGGGCGCAAGCCUGAUCCAGCCAUGCCGCGUGAGUGAAGAAGGCCUUCGGGUUGUAAAGCUCUUUUACCAGGGACGAUAAUGACGGUACCUGGAGAAUAAGCCCCGGCAAACUUCGUGCCAGCAGCCGCGGUAAUACGAAGGGGGCUAGCGUUGUUCGGAAUUACUGGGCGUAAAGCGCACGUAGGCGGAUUGUUAAGUCAGAGGUGAAAUCCCGGAGCUCAACUUCGGAACUGCCUUUGAUACUGGCAAUCUCGAGUCCGGAAGAGGUUAGUGGAAUUCCCAGUGUAGAGGUGAAAUUCGUAGAUAUUGGGAAGAACACCAGUGGCGAAGGCGGCUAACUGGUCCGGUACUGACGCUGAGGUGCGAAAGCGUGGGGAGCAAACAGGAUUAGAUACCCCUGUAGUCCCUGAGCGGGCUGGCAAGGCGCAU
rnacentral:rRNA from 1 species